rnacentral:misc_RNA from 1 species
GAUGAAGAACGUAGCGAAAUGCGAUACGUAGUGUGAAUUGCAGAAUUCAGUGAAUCAUCGAAUCUUUGAACGCACAUUGCACCUCUCGGUAUACCGGGAGGUAUGCCUGUUCGAGCGUCAUUUGUACCCUCAAGCUCUGCUUGGUGUUGGGUGUUUGUUCCGCCUCUGUGUGUGAACUCGCCUCAAAACAAUUGGCAGCCGGCGUACUUGUUUCGGAGCGCAGCACAUUUUGCGAUCCAGAUCAACGUACAGCGGCAUCCAAGAAGCCUUAUUUAACGCUCUUGACCUCGGAUCAGGUAGGGAUACCCGCUGAACUUAAGCAUAUCAAUAAGCGGAGGA